ACGUGUGCAUGUGUCUUUAUAGCAGCAUGAUUUAUAGUCCUUUGGGUAUAUUCUUUAUUAAGGCCUUUAAUAGGAAGAACUAAUAAUUGCCAUAAUUUUUCUAUAAUUAUAGGACUAAAUAAUAAUUUGAGAUAUCUAUAACAACACUAAUGUAAUACAAGAUAUCUGUGACUUCUAUUGGUUGGUUUAUUAGUCUGUUCUCAUGCUGCUAAUAAAGACAUACCCGAGACUGGAUAAUUUAUAAAGAAAAAAACUGUGGAAAUUUCUCUAGACCCCUCUCCCUACUUACCUUCCUGCUUAAAAGCAAACUCAAAAGGCAAAUUCACUUUUUCAACUACAAAUCUUGUUCUCAGUGUCUGUAACUUGCUGUGAGAGCAUUCCUUUUCAAACAGCUGUUUCAAAGGAGACGUAGGAUAUGAUUAAAUAUUUUCUCUAAUAUGGGUUCAUUAAUAAUUUCUUCAAGAUUAUUUUCAUUCCAUAAAAGUGACAGAAUUUUACUUCUUAUUUUACAACUAUACGUAUAUGUGGAUAACAAUAGAGACCUAGAUAUAGGUAUAUUAUUUAUCUAUACACACUUGGGUAACUUUCACUGAAAUUAAGUCUAUUAUUACUAUCAGCGCCUAUGAAAAAUACAUAAACGGUAAUAAAUAAAUAAUUCCUGAGAAUUGUUCUGGGGAUUUUUUGUGGUCAGCUCUUUAUGUGAUUCACUUUGUGGCUAUAAAUAGUUUUCUCAAAUUGCCAUUUGUUUUAUUUUUAGUCUUAACAUCUAACUGCUAAACUAUGGCAACUCCUUUUUCCCCUUGUAGUUGAAUAGAAGAAAAAUUGAUAUCGAAAGGUGGGUGCUGCUGAACUUUUUUUGACUAAAAUUUUUCCUGUUUCAGAUUUCACUUUUAAUAUUAAUCUAUUUUUCAAAAGCAGAUGCUGAUAAUUCCCCCACAUUGUGCCAUGACUUUAUGUUAUGGAGACAGCCUAAUUAGGGAUAAAAUUAAAUCUAAUAUAAUUUUACUUGAAUAAGCUCAAAUAAAAUUGACCUCUGAAGAAAGGAAUGAAGCUAUAAAUUAAACUAUUGAAUCUCACCAAAUUAUUAACAAAAAAGACACUUGAUUGGUGGGCUAAUACAUUUUUCUGAUAUAAAUGAAGACUAAAGAUGUGGUUUAUUCAAUGAGAUAGUUGUCGUUAUAAAAAAAUUUGUGUGUUCAAAGUUUGUUCAAAAAUGGUAAAAAAAAUACUAUUCUAGUGAGGAUUGGGGCUUUUAUCUUAUUUAGUACUAUGACAAUCUAUCACCCU
rnacentral:lncRNA from 1 species